CGGGGCCGAGGCGGGGCCACAGGCCAUCAGCAGAGAUGCCGGAUCGGAAGUGGAGCACCGGGACACGAACCAGCGCCCUUAUGGGAUGCCAGCGCCACAAGAAGAGGCUUAGCCUGCUACACCACAGCGCUGGCCCCAGGACCUUCAAUUUUCAACCAGUCCCAUCUUCCUGCCCUCUCGCUGGGUCCAACCCCAGAACAGCCCUUCACCAUAUUCCUGCUGAACUGUGAUCUUUACUUUUACUUCUUGAACUCAUGACUUAGUGAAGCACUAAGCCUUUUGUCCUCCUGAAGCACGCAGGAUGCUCAGGCUGCCCUCUGCAUCUGCAGACAAAGGAACUGGCCCAGGAAUUCGGGCGCAGUUUCCUAGAGACCAGCAGCUGUUCCACCUCGAGGCCUGCAGCCAGUGGUAAGAAGCAACUGCGCCGUUUUGCGAGUCGUCCGGCUGCCAGCCAGUGGGGUAACUCAGCUCCGAGAGCUCUGCGAUCUUGCUCGCUCCUCAGUGCUAUUUUCCUCAAUCUUGCUGAGUUAACAUUUAUACUAACUCGCCUGAAAUCAAACAGUGAUCUUAUCUCCACUUUAUUGCAAUGACCGUCUUAGCUGACCCUCCAGUAAUUUAACCCAUGUCCUAAUGUUCCAAUUAAAGUCACA